CUGAAACCGAAGGAGAGGAUGAACAACCAUCACAACCUUUGCCACGACGGCUGGAGCAGGACGUUUCAGUGUGCAAAAUGCCUACAGAAGCAGAAAAGGUGUGCUGCAGAGAAAUACCACAGGUCAUUUUUACAAGUACGCUGUACAGGGGUGUAACACCUGUUCCUUCCACCUGCAUGACUCAACAUCCGGGGCUAGAAGCAAACAGUCUUAACCCAUAUACACUCCAAAAUAUACACAACAUUCUUCAGAGUGGACUACGGGCCUUUGAGAGGGAGAACAGCAGAAGAGCUUUACAGACACUUGGCCUAUCGUAGCUGUGUGAGCUGGUGCUGGGGAUAUUUGGGACGCAACUGCAGAGUAGUCAUCCCGUCGUGUGUUGUCCUGAGGAUCCGGCUUGAGUUUCCAGACCCGACCGGACAUUAUCUUGGCUUCCGCCCGCCCCUUGGCUGAACCUGGACUUG